rnacentral:ncRNA from 2 species
UUAGGGACGCGUGGCGCUUUGUUACCGGAUUGCGGGCCACGUUAAACAUUCCGCUAAAGAGGGUUCGGGCAUGACCCC